rnacentral:tRNA from 1 species
GAGGCUGUAGCUCAGUUGGUAGAGCAAAACGGACUUUUAAUCCGUAGGUCCUGGGUUCGAGCCCCAGCAGCCUCA